CUCGAAGCAGACGAACCCUUCCCCAUUUUUAUCAACACCUUUUAUUAUGUGCCAAUAGUCCUCUAUUGUGCACCGUCCAUCACCAAUUGUUCUUAAAACGUUAAAAAGCUCAUCCGCCGUUAUCUUUCCGUCGUGAUCCAAGUCGAAGAAGUUGAAUGUUUCCUUCACCCAAAAGUCGAGCCGAUCGCAUAAAACUCUUCUAAACUAAUACACCCAUCGCCAUCUAUAUCCACUUCGCUCAACAUCAGCCCCAGCUCUUCCCGACUCAUCAGCUCGGCUCUGACACGGAUCAAUAACGCCUCUAGCUCCUCUUUCUUUAUCUUUCUGUCACCGUCUCUGUCUACCAAUUUAAACGCUUGUUUUAAAUCAAAGUCCGACAAGUCGUCAGUAGGUAGAACGCCGGUGGGCGUGGCUGACCAAUUUGUGGGGUUACUGAAAUCGAUUUGACUCGUUUGAGAAUCAUUUGACGAACUAAAGGAAGCUAGGUCGGAUUCUGAUCCAAGAACAAAUCGAGAUUUCUUCCUCUUGAAGAGUUUUUGGGAAUGUCUUUGAUGAAUUUCAUUUUCGAAAUGAGUUAAAGGGUUUGAGGGUGAAAUGGUGAGAGGGAAAAAAAGAGUUAUAUGGGUGAAGAGUCCAGGAGCAUGAGUGAGCUUCCACGAAGUUUCCUUGGAGAAUUUAACGGAGAG
rnacentral:lncRNA from 1 species